UUAAAGACAACUACGGAAGCUAUG
rnacentral:piRNA from 1 species